CGGGAGUUGGAGUUCCGCGGGCGGACCUGUCGCUGUUCACUGUGCCCCUUCUCGGGCGGGUGUCCCGGGCGCCGACGCCGAGGACGAGGACGAGGACAGCGCGGCCGGGCCGGGGCGCCUGCGCAGACGGCCGGAGCCGGCGAGAAACUGGGAUGCGUCGAGGAGAAUGUUUUCAGAAGACCGUGCAGUCUUCUUGACUAAUGAAGAACAAGGCGUGUUGUCCCGGGGUUCUGCAGUGAAGUUGACCCAGUGAGACACAGCGAAGUUCAGUUAGAAUACCGGCAGUAGUCAUGGGAUGCUGAAACAACGCUCUGAGCCAGUGGUGUUGGCUUUCCUGCUGCUUCUGUGUCCAACGCGAACACGUAGGUCAUCUUGGAAGAACACGGUCCCCAGUUUAUGGCAUUUCCUCACCGUGGCCAAAGAAGUGCCGUCUGCUGCGUAACGCAGGAUGAGUGGAAACUAGACGUGGCCGCAGACGACUUCUCACCGAGCCCAGACUCCUUCCUCAAGGAACCCAUGAGAAGCACAGUGGACAAGACGAAGCUGGAGCAGCUGUUCAACAGGUACAGAGACCCACAAGAUGAAAAUAAAAUUGGAAUUGAUGGGAUUCAACAGUUUUGUGAUGACUUAAGCCUAGAUCCUGCCAGUGUCAGCGUUUUGGUUAUAGCAUGGAAAUUCAGGGCAGCGACGCAAUGUGAAUUUAGCAAAAAGGAAUUUGUAGAUGGCAUGACAGAGCUUGGGUGUGACAGCACCGAGAAGCUGAGAGCCCUUCUGCCGAGACUGGAGCAGGAACUGAAGGACACGGCGAAGUUUAAGGAUUUUUAUCAGUUUACCUUUACCUUUGCUAAGAACCCCGGGCAGAAGGGUUUAGCCAGCUGCAAACACACCCUCCAUGGACCUGGCUGUCUGAGGGCACUUUCCACCUCCGCGCUCCAUUCUCAGUGGUGCAGACUGGACACACCUGGAGGAACUCCUUCUUCACUGCCGUUUCCACCGUGGCAAGAUUUAGAAAUGGCUGUUGCAUACUGGAAUUUAGUAUUAUCUGGAAGGUUUAAAUUUUUAGAUCUUUGGAACACGUUUUUAUUGGAUCAUCACAAAAGAUCAAUCCCAAGGGACACUUGGAACCUUCUGCUAGAUUUUGGAAAUAUGAUUGCAGAUGAUAUGUCUAACUAUGACGAAGAAGGUACGGGAAGUCCUAGUGCUUCAGAUGCUGGCCAGAAACGCUGACGCACGGGCUGCCUCUCCCUGCCCCCGGGCGCAGGACGGUGCUGACCGGCUCCCCCGACUCUGGCCCCACCCCUCAGUGCUGUGGGGGUGACGGCGGUAAUAAUAGGACCCACUUCAGCGCAUGGCCUGUUCUCAUAGACGAUUUCGUGGAGUACGCGCGGCCAGUCGUCACGGGCGCUAAGCGCAGCCCUUUCUAGGCAGAAAAUGAAGACACGUUAGGAUGCCGAGAGGAAGCACCUCCUGCGAGGCCAGUCGGUCACUGUGCCCGUGUCGCUGGCUGUGCAGUCACCCCUGGCCAGCCGGGGCGCUGGAACGACCUCCCCUGCUACAGAAAGGGCUGAGUUGGACGCGGAAGGAGCUCCUCAGAAGACGCGGCUUUGGGAUGCCUGGGGGUGGCCCCGUGGCUGUUGCUUUAGGGGAUUUCUGCAUGAUUUUUAUUAUACUUGUGAAAAGGUAACUCAGAGCCUGUUGGCUGAGUGGCAGAGCAGCUGUUUCACUCAUCAUGUCAGGGGAACGCCAACAGUGACCACAGCUCUGCCGGGCUGCCUUGUAAUUCCACUUCACAAGCGGUGUUUGUGUCCUCGGCAGGAUGCGCGGUUUUCUGCAGGUCAAAGCCGGUAUCCGUGUGGCCUAAAGAACAUCUGACACGGAUUUGAACAUUUUAUAAACUUGGUGCCAGGAAUUCAAGAUUUCUAUUUUCUGAAUUAUCAAAUACCUAGAUUUAUUGGAUCUAUUUUUAUUUUAAUUCCCUGUAGGUGUUCAUGUGAAAGUCUUUCGGCGGUUCUUGGUGUGACAGUUUGCGUGGUGAUGGCACAUGCGGGCGGGGGCUCCGGGGACAUUAUUGUAAACUCUUGACAAGUCGUGGGUCUUUUCCUUCCAAUGUCAUUUGAGUGAGCUUCCUAAAAAAUUUUGUAAAGAUUGUUUUUUUAAAAGGUGUAUUUUAUCACAUUUAAGAAGACAUUUUUCCAUGAAAAGUGUUUCUUUUACAAGCAAUGGAUUAUGGAUUUGAAAGUCCUGUGAGUUGGUCCCUUCCAGCGGUCUGCGAGGCCGGUCACCCGCCCUCUGGCUGUGUGUGUGGUUGCAUACAUGAGGCCGGUCACCCGCCCUCUGGCCGUGUGUGUGGUUGCAUACAUGAGGCCGGUCACCCGCCCUCUGGCCGUGUGCGUGGUUGCAUACAUGAGGCCGGUCACCCGCCCUCUGGCGUGUGUGUGGUUGCAUACAUGAGGCCGGUCACCCGCCCUCUGGCGUGUGUGUGGUUGCAUACAUUUCGUUCUCUGAAAACACCCGGGGGAAACCUCCACCUGGUUUCCAUCUGAAGCCCGUGCUCAUCACGUUGUUGUCUAGAUUCUUCUGGUGUUUGCUGGCCAGAGAAGACCGUCCAGUGAGGCCCAGAACCUGCCAUCCAAACGCAGAAGGCCCGUGAUGCCACCUGCUUUCUGUUUGGAAAAAGCUGCGCGUUCCACAAAUCACUGUGUGGACCCUACCUCAUAUGUGAAAAGAUCUUCAUGUCACAAGUGUGCCUGCUUCCUGCCCUCAACCCAGUUUACGAGACAGAUGAGUUGGGGUCACUUCACGGGGAGAGGAAGUUCACUUUGGACUCCCUGUAAAUGGACGGUGUGCCUAAAAUGUGUGCUUGAGUUGACUUUCACAAAUGUGGUUCGAGUUUCCGGAAGCAUCUGUGCCCAGUGGGGGGUUUUGCAUACCUGCUGUGCGUGAACUACGUAUACUUUAGAAAAGGAGUCAUUCAAAGAGACAGCAGGCUGUGGGGGGAGGAAAGGGGCCCUGAGGCUGGACACGGGCGUUGGGGCGGGGCGGCCCCAGCGAGGUGCACGACCCGUCCAGAGGCUUCUCCCAGGCCUGCGCUUCCAUGGCUCCCCAGGGAGCAAGGCUGCCUCUGCCUGUGAGCCUGGGGCUCCAAGAGAGCACAUAUUUGCAGAAUAAAAACCUCCGCGAUUUUACAGCACCCUUCGAGGCUCUGUGGGUUCCUGCCAUGUAAAGUGUUCUGCUCAGACGAGUUGUAGCGCUUGGGUAAUCUCGCACAAAUCGGGAGGUCUGUUCGUUCUCAAGAGUCAGAGGUGUGGGGGAAGUUCUGUGUGACUGUUUAUCAGAGAAAACAGAGCCCUGUGCUUGGACAGAGGCUCUUCAAAAAACUGGGUUUCUCUUUCUUCUAUUAUGUAUGUGUAAGGCAUGCAUGCUAUGAACGUGUAAGAGCUUCGGAAACAUUAAAAUAAAUUAUUUUCUCUGCUGUGA